AUGCUUCACUGGCUUCACAGGCCCUUGCUGUGCCCACCUCCGGCUCCUCCUCAGGCACCAGGCCGGGCGGUGGCCGCCUCCAGCUCACCACCUCCGAGGCCGCACUUCCGGGCAGCGACGCCGGCGGAACUGAAGUCCGCAGAUGCCGCGACGCGGCGAACCACUCGGUCAGAGCACGUUUCCGGCGUUUCCAUGGAGACUAGUCGCCGCCGCCAGGUCGCACUUCCGGCCAAAGUCGCGGGGCCGGGGCAACCGCAGUUUCGCCCUAGCGACGGGGCGGGGGCGGGGCCUGCGCUGUCAAUCUGUAGGCCACGCUCCUCGCAUGUGCUGUCGGGCGGGAGAAGCUGUUGCCACUGCAACCUAAACAGGAGUGGAACUGCCAAAGCUGCCCUGGACUGGCCUGAUUCCACAGGAUUUGGGGGCAUUAAGUGAGAAUUCUAAUAGUUCAUAGUACAUAGCAGGUAUAAUUAAGGUUACUAAUCAGCUGACUAGAUAAGGAGAUAGUCCUGGAUUGUUUGGAUGGGCCCUAGGGAAUCAUAAGGGUUCUUUGUUGUUGUUCAGUGGCUAAGUUGUGACUCUUUAUGACCCCAUGGACUGUAGCACGCCAGGCUUCCCUGUCCUUCACUAUCUCCUGGAGCUUGCUCAAACUCAUGUCCAUUCAGUCGGUGAUGUCAUCCAACCAUCUUGUCCUCUGACAUCCCCAUCUCCUCCUGCCUUCAAUCUUUCCUGGCAUCUGAGUCCUUUCCAAUGAGUUGGCUUUUCGCAUCAGGUGGCCAAAGUAUUGGAGCUUCAACUUCAGCAUCAGUCCUUUCAGUGAAUAUUCAGGGUUGAUUUCCUUUGGCACUGACUGGUUGGAUCUCCUUGCAGUCUAAGGGACUCUCAAGAGUCUUCUCCAGCACCACCGUUCAAAAUCAAUUCUUUGGCAUGCAGCCUUCUUUAUGGUGAAAAUCUCACAUCCAUACAUGAAUGCUGGAAAAACUAAAGCUUUGACUAUACAGACCUUUGUCAGCAAAGUGAUUUAUCUGUUUUUUUUUAACACGCUGUCUAGGUUUGUCAUAGUUUGUCAAAAGGGUUCUUAAAGGUAGAAGAAUACUCGAAGUAGGAGGACUCCAAGGUUUUGAAGGCAGAGGGCCGUGUGGUGAGGAACGUGUGGGUGGUGGUAGUGGACUCUUGAAUUUCAGAAGAACCCUGGGAGACAGCCAACAAGAGAACAGGGACUUCGUCCUACAGCUUCAUGGAGCUGGCUUUUCUAGCAACCUGACUGAGCUGGGAAGCAGACUCUUCCCCCCAACCCAACACACUCCUACAAUUUUUGUUUUCAGUUCAGUUCAGUCGCUCAGUCAUGUCCGACUCUUUGCGACCUCAUGAAUUGCAGCACGCCAGGCCUCCCUGUCCAUCACCAACUCCCAGAGUUCACUCAGACUCACAUCCAUCAAGUCAGUGAUGCCAUCCAGCCAUCUCAUCCUCUGUCGUCCCCUUCUCCUCCUUCCCCCAAUCCCUCCCAGCAUCAGAGUCUUUUCCAAUGAAUCAACUCUUCCCAUGAGGUGGCCAAAGUAUUGGAGUUUCAGCUUUAGCAUCAUUCCUUCCAAAGAAAUCCCAGGGCUGAAUGGACUUCAGAAUGGACUGGUUGGAUCUCCUUGCAGGCCAAGAGACUCUCAAGAGUCUUCUCCAACACCACAGUUCAAAAGCAUCAAUUCUUCGGUGCUCAGCUUUCUUCACAGUCCAACUCUCACAUCCAUACAUGACCACAGGAAAAACCAUAGCCUUGACUAGACGGACCUUUGUUGGCAAAGUAAUGUCUCUGCUUUUCAAUGUGCUAUCUAGGUUGGUCAUAACUUUCCUUCCAAGGAGUAAGUGUCUUUUAAUUUCAUGGCUGCAGUCACUAUCUGCAGUGAUUUUGGAGCCCCCGAAAAUAAAGUCUGGCACUGUUUCCACUGUUUCCCCAUCUAUUUCCCAUGAAGUGAUGGGACCAGAUGCCAUGAUCUUAGUUUUCUGAAUGUUGAGUUUUAAGCCAACAUUUUCCACUCUCCUCUUUCACCUUCAUCAAGAGGCUUUUUAGUUCCUCUUCACUUUCUGCCAUAAGGGUGGUGUCAUCUGCAUAUCUGAGGUUAUUGAUAUUUCUCCUGGCAAUCUUGAUUCCAGCUUGUGCUUCUUCCAGCCCAGCGUUUCUCAUAAUGUACUCUGCAUAUAAGCGAAAUAAGCAGGGUGGCAACAUACAGCCUUGACGUACUCCUUUGCCUAUUUGGAACCAGUCUGUUCCAUGUCCAGUUCUAACUGUUGCGUCCUGACCUGCAUACAGAUUUCUCAAGAGGCAGGUCAGGUGGUCUGGUAUUCCCAUCUCUUUCAGAACUUUCCACAGUUUAUUGUGAUCCACACAGUCAAAGGCUUUGGCAUAGUCAAUAAAGCAGAAAUAGAUGUUUUUCUGGAACUCUCUUGCUUUUUCCAUGAUCCAGCGGAUGUUGGCAAUUUGGUCUCUCAUUCCUCUGCCUUUUCUAAAACCAGCUUGAACAUCUGGAAGUUCACGGUUCACGUUUUGCUGAAGCCUGGCUUAGAGAAUUUUGAGCAUUACUUUACUAGCGUGUGAGAUGAGUGCAAUUGUGUGGUAGUUUGAGCAUUCUUUGGCAUUGCCUUUCUUUGGGAUUGGAAUGAAAACUGACCGUUUCCAGUCCUGUGGCCACUGCUGAGUUUUCCAAAUUUUCUGGCAUAUUGAGUGCAGCACUUUCACAGCGUCAUUUUUCAGGAUUUGAAAUAGCUCAACUGGAAUUCCAUCACCUCCACUAGCUUUGUUCAUAGUGAUGCUUCCUAAGGCCCACUUGACUUCACAUUCUAGCAUGUCUGGCUUCAGGUGAGUGAUCACACCAUCGUGAUUAUCUGGGUUGUGAAGAUCUUUUUUGUACAGUUCUUCUGUGUAUUCUUGCCACCUCUUCUUAAUAUCUUCUGCUUGUUAGGUCCAUACCAUUUCUGUCCUUUAUCGAGCCCAUCUUUGCAUGAAAUGUUCCCUUGGUAUCUCUAAUUUUAUUGAAGAGAUCUCUAGUCUUUCCCAUUCUGUUGUUUUCCUCUGUUUCUUUGCAUUGAUUGCUGAGGAAGGCUUUCUUCUCUCUUCUUGCUAUUCUUUGGAACUCUGCAUUCAGAUGCUUAUAUCUUUCCUUUUCUCCUUUGCUUUUUGCUUCUCUUCUUUUCACAGCUUUUUGUAAGGCCUCCCCAGACAGUCAUUUUGCUGUUUUGCAUUUCUUUUCCAUGGGGAUGAUCUUGAUCCCUGUCUCCUGUACAAUGUCACUAACCUCCGUCCAUAGUUCAUCAGGCACUCUAUCAGAUCUAGUCCCUUAAAUCUAUUUCUCACUUCCACUGUAUAAUCAUAAGGGAUUUGAUUUAGGUCAUAUCUGAAUGGUCUAGUGGUUUUCCCUUCUUUCUUCAAUUUCAGUCUGAAUUUGGCAAUAAGGAGUUCAUGAUCUGAGCCACAGUCAGCUCCUGGUCUUGUUUUUGUUGACUGUAUAGAGCUUCUCCAUCUUUGGCUGCAAAGAAUAUAAUCAAUCUGAUUUUGGUGUUGACCAUCUGGUGAUGUCCAUGUGUAGAGUCUUCUCUUGUGUUGUUGGAAGAGGGUGUUUGCUAUGACCAGUGUAUUUUCUUGGCAAAACUCUAUUAGUCUUUGCCCUGCUUCAUUCCGUAUUCCAAGGCCAAAUUUGCCUGUUACUCCAGGUGUUUCUUGACUUCCUACUUUUGCAUUCCAGUCGCCUGUAAUGAAAAGGACAUCUUUUUUGGGUGUUAGUUCUAAAAGGUCUUGUAGGUCUUCAUAGAACCGUUCAACUUCAGCUUCUUCAGCAUUACUGAUUGGGGCAUAGACUUGGAUUACUGUGAUAUUGAAUGGUUUGCCUUGGAAACGAACAGAGAUCAUUCUGUCAUUUUUGAGAUUGCAUCCAAGUACUGCAUUUCUUUUUUUUUUCCAAGUACUGCAUUUCUAACUCUUUUGUUGACCAAAAUGGCUACUCCAUUUCUUCUGAGGAAUUCCUGCCCACAGUAGUAGAUAGCCCAGCGUUCAGGUCUCCAAGC
rnacentral:lncRNA from 1 species